rnacentral:tRNA from 1 species
GGAGAGGUGCCGGAGUGGUUGAACGGGGCGCUCUCGAAAAGCGUUGAAUGUCAAAGUUCCGAGGGUUCGAAUCCCUCCUUCUCCGCAA